AUUGAACGCUGGCGGCAGGCCUAACACAUGCAAGUCGAGCGGAUGACGGGAGCUUGCUCCUUGAUUCAGCGGCGGACGGGUGAGUAAUGCCUAGGAAUCUGCCUGGUAGUGGGGGGCAACGUUUCGAAAGGAACGCUAAUACCGCAUACGUCCUACGGGAGAAAGCAGGGGACCUUCGGGCCUUGCGCUAUCAGAUGAGCCUAGGUCGGAUUAGCUUGUUGGUGAGGUAAUCGCUCACCAAGGCGACGAUCCGUAACUGGUCUGAGAGGAUGAUCAGUCACACUGGAACUGAGACACGGUCCAGACUCCUACGGGAGGCAGCAGUGGGGAAUAUUGGACAAUGGGCGAAAGCCUGAUCCAGCCAUGCCGCGUGUGUGAAGAAGGUCUUCGGAUUGUAAAGCACUUUAAGUUGGGAGGAAGGGUUGUAGAUUAAUACUCUGCAAUUUUGACGUUACCGACAGAAUAAGCACCGGCUAACUCUGUG
rnacentral:rRNA from 1 species